GUCUUUGUAGAGCUAUUUAUAGCGCGUUGGACUACUAAUCCAAAGGUUGUGGGUUUGAAUCAUACCUGGGAUG